GGUAAAGAGAAUAACUCACAGUAGGAUACAACGUGAAACUGUUCCCCGAAGAGUGUCACAAUGUUCCUGGUACAAUAUACAGAUUUGUCAUAUGGAUAAGAGUGAGAAAACUUCAAAUAGGAAGCAUUCCAGAGCACAUCUGUUUGCAUACAGAUGAUGUGGAGAAGUGAGUGAGUGACAAUAUUUCAAGGUUACGUUGAAGAGCAUACAGUGAACCUUAGUGCCUGGACCAACAGCUGCUGAAUUGAAUUGUCUGCAAUUAAAGCAACAGCAGAAAUCCAGACCUUUCUACUUUCAAUGAAAAUGUUCACUCUGAUAGGGACUCUUCAUAAUUUACAUCAGAAUGAAAAAGAAGGGAA